AACGCAUCUUGCGCUCCUUGGUAUUCCGAGGAGCAUGCCUGUUUGAGUGUCAUUAAAAGUUCUCAACCACUCUGGUUCUUUCCGGUGUGGCUUGGAUUUGAGGGGUUUUGCAGGCUUUUGAACUGAAGUCGGCUCCCUUGAAAAGGAUUAGUGGUGUCUGAGCAGAAGCCAUCAUGGGUGUGAUAAUUAUCUAUGCCUUGGUGGAAUGCCUGAACCGCAAAAAGUGUUGUGUUUUGAUGAAUUUGACCUCAAAUCAGGUAGGACUACCCGCUGAACUUAA
rnacentral:misc_RNA from 2 species